rnacentral:rRNA from 1 species
CUUUCUUUGCUGGCGACCGGCGCACGGGUGAGUAACACAUAUCCAACCUGCCCUUUACUCGGGGAUAGCCUUUCGAAAGAAAGAUUAAUACCCGAUAGCAUAAUGAUUCCGCAUGGUUUCAUUAUUAAAGGAUUCCGGUAAAGGAUGGGGAUGCGUUCCAUUAGGUUGUUGGUGGGGUAACGGCCCACCAAGCCUUCGAUGGAUAGGGGUUCUGAGAGGAAGGUCCCCCACAUUGGAACUGAGACACGGUCCAA